UACAGAGGUCCCAAGCGUUGUUCGGAUUCAUUGGGCGUAAAGGGUGCGUAGGUGGCGCCGUAAGUCGGGUGUGAAAUUUCGGAGCUUAACUCCGAAACUGCAUUCGAUACUGCGGUGCUUGAGGACUGGAGAGGAGACUGGAAUUCCUGGUGUAGCGGUGAAAUGCGUAGAUAUCUGGAGGAAUACCGGUGGCGAAGGCGGCAUCCUGGACCGGCAUUGACGCUGAAGCGCGAAAGCUAGGGGAGCAAACGGG
rnacentral:rRNA from 1 species